rnacentral:rRNA from 1 species
UGGGGAAUAUUGGACAAUGGGCGCAAGCCUGAUCCAGCAAUGCCGCGUGUGUGAAGAAGGCCCUCGGGUUGUAAAGCACUUUUAUCAGGAGCGAAAUCUGCAAGGCUAAUACCCUUGUAGUCUGACGGUACCUGAGGAAUAAGCACCGGCUAACUCCGUGCCAGCAGCCGCGGUAAUACGGAGGGUGCAAGCGUUAAUCGGAAUUACUGGGCGUAAAGCGUGUGUAGGCGGUUUGUUAAGUCUGUUGUGAAAGCCCCGGGCUCAACCUGGGAAUGGCAAUGGAUACUGGCAAGCUAGAGUGUGAUAGAGGAUGGUGGAAUUCCCGGUGUAGCGGUGAAAUGCGUAGAGAUCGGGAGGAACAUCAGUGGCGAAGGCGGCCAUCUGGAUCAACACUGACGCUGAGACACGAAAGCGUGGGGAGCAAACAGGAUUAGAUACCUUGGUAGUCCACGCCCUAAACGAUGCGAACUGGAUGUUGGUCUCAACUCGGAGAUCAGUGUCGAAGCUAACGCGUUAAGUUCGCCGCCUGGGGAGUACGGUCGCAAGACUGAAACUUAAAUGAAUUGAC